AAAUUUACAUAAAUAAUUUACAAGGUAAAGUAGCACUACAUUUUCUCCCUUCCCCACAUAUUGCCAUUUCUGUCCCAAACCCCUCUCACAAACUCCCAUUCAUCAAUCCACUGUAAUUAAACAAAUAUAGAAGACCACAAAAUAAACUUUAACCAACUAUAUAAAACAACCUCAAAAUCAAAUAUCACCAACCCUCAUGUAUUCAUUCAGUACCAGUCUUCACCUUGGAUCUGUAUAGCACCUUCUUCUUCUUAGACGUCGCAUUGUCAAUGGUGAGCACCACCUUCCCCGCCUCACUGAAUUUGAAACUGUUCUUCACCACCGGCUCAUCAGUCACCGCAAACUUCCUCGUCUUCGCAAUGAUCACAGUAUAGCUUCCCUCUGUGCUAGGCACAAACUCUGCCCCAUAACUCACCUCCCAUCCGAGCACACGGAGCUCCCACACAAGAAGCGAUCCCUCAGUUGCCUCAAUUUCAAUAGUAUGCUUGCUAGCCGGCUUAAUUGUGACAUCGGUGGCCGCAUCAGCAGUCGUGAAAUCAGAAUCAUCUUUGCUGAGGCCACCGUACUGGACUGGCACAUGCUCGGGGGCUAUGUAUUUGAACAAGGUCUCAGUCGACCUCGACGGCCCUGCGAACACAAACUUGCUCUUGGAUCGCGGAGUGAAAACCGAGCUGAUCACCCGGUUGUAAGCCAGGUACCACCAUGGAACAUUGAUAAAAAUCUGUUUAGCAACAAAUUCAGGGUAGCUAUCCUGGAGGAGUGUGAGCGCCUGCUUGGUGGCCUGCCGGAGCUCACUCUUGCCGGGGCCAGCGACGUUCUUCAGAUCGGUCACCUGCACCAUGGUCGAAACCCCGGUGGGGGUGAAAUCGAGCAGCUCACGAAUUCCCUUCUCGAGAAACUGAAUCCGCCACUUGAGGAACUUGCUCCUCUUCUCCUCGUCGCCGAACGCCUUGCUGUAGAGCUCCUUGUCCUGGAACUCGCCGUACACGUUGUAGCAGACGGGAUGCCCCUCCUUAUCCUGGCCGUGCAUGAACACCACCUUUUCCAGCUCCGGCGUGA
rnacentral:misc_RNA from 1 species